UGGCGGUGCGCAGGCGCAGUUGCUGCGGCUCCUGAAAUCCUCCGGUGUGAACUCCCAGGGCUGUUGAUGCUUCAUCUACUCUUCUGGCAGUGGGGGCCUGGACCUUAGUUACCCGGGGAGCGUGAGUCAUGUUGCACAGUUGAGCUGGCACAUAAAACUGCGAGUCACACCAGAAGAGGGCAUUGGAUCCCACUAUAGACUGUUGUGAGCCACCUUGUAGUUGCUGGGAAUUGAACUCAGAAACUCUGGAAGAGCAGUUGAUGCUCUUAACUGCUGAGUCAUCUCUCCAGCCCCAGGUGUUCUGCCCAGUUUAUAGAACAAGGAAUUGGAGCUUGGAGAAGAUUGAUGGACCACUCAAGUUCCCUGGAUGGUCCAGGAUUCAGACUGAGGAUGGCCUAAAACGUUAGUUUUGCUGGCUCCCUGUGCUUGGCUAACCUUAGAGCCUCUUACCUUACCAUAGUCUUUUCUAUGAAGGACAGAGAUCCAAGGAGUGGAUCAACAUGCCUGAGUUUACACAGUGGACCUGAGGACCUUCACCUCCCAGUGCAAUGCUCCUGUGUACUGCCACUGAAGAGACAGGUGGGAGGGAGCUCAAGGUUGACUUGCCUAACAACCAUUGCUUGAAAGACAAAGCUCCCAAGGAGAGCACAAGAUCCCUCACUCGAGACUCCUCUGCAUCACCAACCAGUGUGAACAAAGCCUGCAGCUGUCAGCAGAGUAUUCUUUGUCUCGGUGGUGACACGCUGUGCCUACAGUUGAACUAGGAACUUUGGAUUAGGGUGUGAGUCGUGACCCCAUAGGACAGUGGUGGUGCAUGUAGCCUCAUUUUAGAGUUUAUUUAGAGAGGAGAAAGAGUGUACCA
rnacentral:lncRNA from 1 species